rnacentral:rRNA from 1 species
UACAGAGGUCCCAAGCGUUGUUCGGAUUCACUGGGCGUAAAGGGUGCGUAGGAGGUCGGGAAAGUCGGGUGUGAAAUCUCACCGCUUAACGGUGAAACUGCACUCGAUACUACCUGACUAGAGGACCGGAGGGGAAAGCAGAAUUCGUGGUGUAGCGGUGAAAUGCGUAGAUAUCACGAGGAAUACCAACAGCGUAGGCAGCUUUCUGGAAGGUUCCUGACUCUGAGGCACGAAGGCCAGGGGAGCAAACGGG